rnacentral:misc_RNA from 1 species
UACGUAGGGUGCGAGCGUUAUCCGGAUUCACUGGGUUUAAAGGGUGCGUAGGUGGGCAGGUAAGUCAGUGGUGAAAUCUCUGAGCUUAACUCAGAAACUGCCGUUGAUACUAUCUGUCUUGAAUAUCGUGGAGGUAAGCGGAAUAUGUCAUGUAGCGGUGAAAUGCUUAGACAUGACAUAGAACACCAAUUGCGAAGGCAGCUUACUACCCGAAUAUUGACACUGAGGCACGAAAGCGUGGGGAUCAAACAGG